GCCCCCGUAGCUCAAUUGGAUGAGCAGCUCUCUUGCGAAAAGCCGGAUGCGGGUUCGAGUCCCGCCGGGGGCACCA
rnacentral:tRNA from 1 species